UACGGAGGGUGCAAGCGUUAUUCGGAUUCACUGGGUUUAAAGGGUGCGUAGGAGGGCAGGUAAGUCAGUGGUGAAAUCUCCGAGCUUAACUUGGAAACUGCCGUUGAUACUAUCUGUCUUGAAUAUUGUGGAGGUGAGCGGAAUAUGUCAUGUAGCGGUGAAAUGCUUAGAUAUGACAUAGAACACCAAUUGCGAAGGCAGCUCGCUACACAUAUAUUGACUCUGAGGCACGAAAGCGUGGGGAUCAAACAGG
rnacentral:rRNA from 1 species